rnacentral:rRNA from 1 species
AGCGGAGGAAAAGAAACUAACAAGGAUUCCCCUAGUAACGGCGAGUGAAGCGGGAUGAGCUCAAGCUUAAAAUCUCUGUCACAAAUUUAUUUUGUGCGGCGAAUUGUAGUCUAUAGAGGCGUGGUCAGUGUGGGCGCUUGAGAUAAGUUCCUUGAAAGAGGACAGCAUGGAGGGUGAUACUCCCGUUUAUUCUUGAGUGGCUUAUGCGUAAGACCCGUUUUCUUUGAGUCGCGUUGUUUGAGAAUGCAGCGCAAAGUAGGUGGUAAAUUCCAUCUAAAGCUAAAUAUUGGUGCGAGACCGAUAGCGAACAAGUACCGUGAGGGAAAGAUGAAAAGAACUUUGAAAAGAGAGUUAAAGAGUACCUGAAACUGCUGAAAGGGAACCGGAUCGUUUCUAGUGUCUAUAAUCUGUGACAUAUUUCAUCGGAGAGUGUGUGCGUGUGUAUACUAUGGCAGCGGCUAUUUUUUGGCUGCGCUUGGUGUGUGUGCUGUGUGCGCUUACUGGUGCCCUGUGUUGCGGUGGGACGUCAAGGUCGGUUUGUAUACUGCGGGAAAUGGCUACUGAGGAGGUAGGGCUUACGCUUGCGUUUGUCUAUUAUAUCUUGGUGGUUGUGUCGUGGUUGAGACUGAGGUGUCUACAACGUGUUUUUGAGUGAGACUGUGUCUCCGUGUGCACCGUGUGCGGAUAGCUUGCUAUGUGUGUGUGGUUGUGUGUGGAUUGAUGCGGACUUUAACUUGUGACCGUUCGGGACGUUGACGAAAUAGAGCGAUUUGACCCGUCUUGAAACACGGACCAAGGAGUCUAACAUGUGUGCAAGUGUUAGGGUGUGGAAACCCCAGCGCGAAAUGAAAGUAAAGGAUAGUGUAAACUGUCUGAGGUAGGAAACGUUGCGGAUUUCGGUCUGUGGCGUGGCACUAUCGACCGAUCAUGAACCCUCGUGGUGAAAGAUUUGAGUUUGAGCACAUAUGUUGGUACCCGAAAGAUGGUGAACUAUGCCUGAGUAGGGUGAAGC